rnacentral:rRNA from 1 species
UUGACCUCGGAUCAGGUAGGAAUACCCGCUGAACUUAAGCAUAUCAAUAAGCGGAGGAAAAGAAACCAACAGGGAUUGCCCUAGUAACGGCGAGUGAAGCGGCAACAGCUCAAAUUUGAAAUCUGGCUCUCGGGCCCGAGUUGUAAUUUGUAGAGGAUACUUUUGAUGCGGUGCCUUCCGAGUUCCCUGGAACGGGACGCCAUAGAGGGUGAGAGCCCCGUCUGGUUGGAUGCCAAAUCUCUGUAAAGUUCCUUCGACGAGUCGAGUAGUUUGGGAAUGCUGCUCUAAAUGGGAGGUAUAUGUCUUCUAAAGCUAAAUACCGGCCAGAGACCGAUAGCGCACAAGUAGAGUGAUCGAAAGAUGAAAAGCACUUUGAAAAGAGAGUUAAAAAGUACGUGAAAUUGUUGAAAGGGAAGCGUUUAUGACCAGACUUGGGCUUGGUUAAUCAUCUGGGGUUCUCCCCAGUGCACUUUUCCAGUCCAGGCCAGCAUCAGUUUUCCCCGGGGGAUAAAGACUUCGGGAAUGUGGCUCUCUUCGGGGAGUGUUAUAGCCCGUUGUGUAAUACCCUGGGGGGGAACUGAGGUUCGCGCAUCUGCAAG